AACUGAAACACUACUGGCGUCCCACAUACUGUGGCAGGAAAAAGAAGCGAGCCGUAUCACCAAGGUCUUCAAGCGAGUCUGACUAAAAAUAACUGUAUCAACGGGGUUGGAUUCCACCUGGCACCCGAUCAAGAAACUUCUCUUUGCAGUCAAGCUAUCCAGUGAUUCCAUUGGCCAAUACCACAAUGCUGGAAGGUCACCAGUCUGCGUGUAUUCGCACACCUGAACGUGUUGUGGUUGCUGGGUUCGUCAGUGUAUGCUGUGAUACUCGUGGUACAUCGCUCGACACAACCUAAGGCUGAGAACGGUUGUUGGCGCAAGAAUGAGAUCACCAUCGUCUCACUUAUCACCACGUUAUUUCUGGCCUUUUUCGAAGUUCUUGGCAUCAUUGAACAAUAUCAUCCUAGAAAGAAACUGUGUAUGCCGUUAGCCAGAAUUAUGGCUUUAAAUUGAUUGAACAUUUACACUUUGAUUUUUGCUUCGUUCUCAAAAAUAAAUGAGAUGAGCAACACACUUCAAGCUCUCAGACCAAAGAAUGACUCUUUUACAACAUCUCAGCCUCCCUCAGCAGCUUACCAAGUCGGAGCUAAGUUUCCAAAAUCCCUCUCCAUAUCAGAACCAUAUACUUAUGAAUGGAAUUCAACUUUGUCAGCUGAAAAAUUUAUGAAUUGUAGGAAUAUAACUGUUCCUUGUUCUUCAACAACAGCAAUUACCAUGAUGACUGUACUCAUGUCUGUUUGGGCUACAAAUAGUACAUUUACUCCAUUGUCUUCUAAUGAUGGACAUUCUUUCAGUAGUGUUUCAACUCUUCCUUCAACACCAUUAUACAAUUCAAGCUCUCAGAAUCUGACCACUUCUUCACAGUUGACUGGGCUUGAUGAUACAACAUCUACUAAUCUGGGAAUGUACUCAAGUCUAGAUCCGUAUUCAACAACAGAUUUUGAAGUAGAAUUUGAUAGUGACCAAAUUAAUGAUUUCAAAGAUUCUGAUGAAUUUCUUAGUGUUGACAGUAGUUUUACAGACUCUACAGUCAGUGAAAGUGUUCAAGAGUCAGGUGAAACUGCAGUA